rnacentral:rRNA from 1 species
AGGAUAAACGCUGGCGGCGUGCCUAACACAUGCAAGUCGAACGCGCUUUCGGGCUUCGGUGCGAGAGCGAGUGGCGGACGGGUGAGUAACACAUGGGUACCUACCUUGGAGUGAGGGAUACCGGCGAGAAAUCGCCGACAAUACCGCAUAGGCUUCUUCACAAGGGAAGCAAAGUGACGCGAGUCACGCUUUGAGAUGGGCCUGUGGCCGAUUAGCUAGUUGGGGGGGUAACGGCUUCCCAAGGCGACGAUCGGUAGCUGGUCUGAGAGGACGAUCAGCCACACUGGGAUUGAGAACGGCCCAGACUCCUACGGGGGCAGCAGUGAGGAAUUUUCCGCAAUGGAGGCAACUCUGACGGAGCAACGCCGCGUGCAGGAGGAAGGUUUUCGGAUCGUAAACUGCUUUUCGUCGGGGACGAGCAAGGACGGUACCCGAGGAAGAAGCCCCGGCUAACGUACGCGCCAGCAGCCGC